rnacentral:pre_miRNA from 1 species
UUUUCAGUAUAAGUAUGUCCCAUGCAAUAUCGGGGACAUACUUGUACUAAAA